UCAUUUAUAAAACAUGGUGGGCCUUAUU
rnacentral:sRNA from 1 species